UCAAGACUCGCUUGCACCCUAAA
rnacentral:misc_RNA from 1 species